CAUGGAGGAAGUUGAGUAUGGAUAAAUUGUAUAUUAAAAAUAUUUGUGGAAAAUUUUGGGUACCGUUUAUGGUUUGUGUCUGUGUUUGAGGCAGCUGUCAUUACCCUGACUUCUGGAAACUGGCUCAUGUAAGAACCCAUGGUCAUGGCUCGAGCAUUGCGGCCCCCGAGACUUAUUUCAUGGAUCUGGUACCAUUAUAUUGCUGGCACAUCUGAGUCAUGUAUGGGGUGGAAAUGGACACCUUUGACAAAAUGUACAAACUGGACUUGUCACUGCCUGAGGACUGAGACUCAGGACAUUUCUCUUUCUUAGAAUCCUGAAGGAAGGACAAUACCGGAGGUUUAACAAUGUCAGAGACAGCCAGGGGGCAUUCUUUGUGUAUUGGACCAUGCAAGGUCCUCGUGGUGGUGUAGUGACUCGCCUCAAUCCGGGUGGCGGAGGACGAAUCUCAGUUGUCUCCGCAUCUGAGACUGCCAAUCCACGCGGCUUGUUGAGUGCGUUACCACGGAGACGUAGUGUGCGUGGAUGCUUCACGCUAUUCUCUGCGGCAUCCAUGCGAGGUUAACCCAACGUGACUCUACCCACCCUAGCAACUGGGCCAAUUGGUUGCUUAAGAAGCCUGAGUGGAGUCACUCAGCACGACCUGGAUUCAAAUUUGCAACUCCAGGUGUGGUAGUCAGCGUCUUUACUUACCCACCCUAAUUUUAAACAAUGAGAGAACAGAUCAGCACUUGGGCCCAUGUGACUAUAUUGGAUGGGGAAUUUGGGGGCUUGGCUUUGCUAAACAGGCCAUCAACAACCAGCAGAAGUGGAAUUUUAAGAGUGAUCCAGAUAACGCUGUGAGUAAUACACUGAUUAAAGGCCAAUUUAUUCGCCAUGGACUGUGGGCAUACAGCAGACAUCCAAACUACCUGGGGGAGAUCCUAGUGGUCAGGACUGUUCCUGUCUGCUUUCUCCAUCAUGCAUGGACCCCAGUACAUCA